UCCUACGGGAGGCAGCAGUGGGGAAUAUUGGGCAAUGGGGGAAACCCUGACCCAGCAACGCCGCGUGAAGGAAGAAGGCUUUCGGGUUGUAAACUUCUUUUAGCAGGGACGAAGGACGUGACGGUACCUACAGAAAAAGCAACGGCUAACUACGUGCCAGCAGCCGCGGUA
rnacentral:rRNA from 1 species